rnacentral:rRNA from 1 species
UGGGGAAUAUUGGACAAUGGGCGCAAGCCUGAUCCAGCCAUGCCGCGUGAGUGAUGAAGGCCCUAGGGUUGUAAAGCUCUUUCACCGGUGAAGAUAAUGACGGUAACCGGAGAAGAAGCCCCGGCUAACUUCGUGCCAGCAGCCGCGGUAAUACGAAGGGGGCUAGCGUUGUUCGGAUUUACUGGGCGUAAAGCGCACGUAGGCGGACUUUUAAGUCAGGGGUGAAAUCCCGGGGCUCAACCCCGGUACUGCCUUUGAUACUGGAAGUCUUGAGUAUGGUAGAGGUGAGUAGAAUUCCGAGUGUAGAGGUGAAAUUCGUAGAUAUUCGGAGGAACACCAGUGGCGAAGGCGUCUCACUGGACCAUUACUGACGCAGAGGUGCGAAAGCGUGGGGAGCAAACGGG